AUCACUGCCCAUGAGAGAGAGAGCACCUGGGUAAAGCCCUCACAGAGUACUACAUCCUACAUCCUUUCCACUCCUUUGCGAGGGGUUUCUCUUAGCUCUGGCCUUAUUUUUGCAUCCCUCCCACCUCCCACUACAUUUAGAUGUGAAGAUGAAAAACUAUGGGAAGCAGCCGCUUUUAAAGGCAGCAACUGAAGCAGAAAGAAUGAGCACAUUCUAGGAAUAAUUCUCAGCUCAGCAGUGACAAGAAUUAAAACAAUUAGAAAAUUUUGAAAGGACCCUGAAGAAGAGAGAUAACCCAGAUCAGUUGACCAAGACGCUACCUGUCUUCGUUCGUGUCACAGACGUCCCCUACCAGGAACACAAGCCUCGAGAGAUAGAACAAUUUGUCCAAGAUCCCACCGCAGACACAGCACCAUUUCGCUCGAACAGACAGUGAGCAUGGACAUGGCAGGGGUUGUGUGCUGGGCUUUGACAGGCCCGGGCUGGAAGACAACCCUGGCUCUGGUUACCCAGGAAACCUGAACGGCAUGGACCACACUUGAAGGAACCCUAAGAGUAAAGAAUUGGCGGGAUCAUCAGUUGGCUUGGUACUCUAUCAUGUCACCUAGCUGAUCGUCAUAAGAACCACAUUAUGUAGGUAUCAAAGGUGAGCUUACUCUCAUAUAGCAUAUAGAGAAACUGAGGCUCAGAGAAGUUAAGUGCCUUGCCCAUGGUUACACCAGGUCUUUCCUGACUACAAACCUGCCACCCUCUCUAUUACAUGAUACUGCCUCUAACCAACUCACCACAGU